rnacentral:rRNA from 1 species
GACGAACGCUAGCGGCGUGCUUAACACAUGCAAGUCGAACGGAAAGGCCCUGCUUUUGUGGGGUGCUCGAGUGGCGAACGGGUGAGUAACACGUGAGUAACCUGCCCUUGACUUUGGGAUAACUUCAGGAAACUGGGGCUAAUACCGGAUAGGAGCUCCUGCUGCAUGGUGGGGGUUGGAAAGUUUCGGCGGUUGGGGAUGGACUCGCGGCUUAUCAGCUUGUUGGUGGGGUAGUGGCUUACCAAGGCUUUGACGGGUAGCCGGCCUGAGAGGGUGACCGGCCACAUUGGGACUGAGAUACGGCCCAGACUCCUACGGGAGGCAGCAGUGGGGAAUAUUGCACAAUGGGCGGAAGCCUGAUGCAGCAACGCCGCGUGCGGGAUGACGGCCUUCAGGUUGUAAACCGCUUUCGCCUGUGACGAAGCGUGAGUGACGGUAAUGGGUAAAGAAGCACCGGCUAACUACGUG